rnacentral:rRNA from 1 species
GACAGAGGGUGCAAACGUUGUUCGGAUUUACUGGGCGUAAAGCGCGUGUAGGCGGCUUUGCAAGUCGGAUGUGAAAGCCCACGGCUCAACCGUGGAAGUGCAUCCGAAACUGCAUGGCUUGAGUCUCGGAGAGGAAGGUGGAAGUGCUUGGUGUAGAGGUGAAAUUCGUAGAUAUCAAGCAGAACACCUGCGGCGAAGGCGGCCUUCUGGACGAUGACUGACGCUGAGACGCGAAAGCGUGGGGAGCAAACAGG